GCAUUGGGUUCUGAGGGAACCACAAAGCUGGUCCAUGAUAGAAGGCCAGAUCCUUCCCUGGCUCAAGAAGAAGCCCAAGGAAUUGUUUUCCUCUCACCCAGCACAUCAUAUACAAGCCUGAUUGUUCUUCAAAGCCAGCUGUGAGGAGUUGUGCACCGACUGCGUACCAACAAGUGACUUCUGAAGUGCAAAAGCAGAAAGAAUCAGAUCCCAUCACCAGAGACUUUGCAACCAAAUACACACAAUUCACAAAGUUGGAGCACUGUGAAGAAUGUCUCCAGCUCCUGCAGAAGGAGGUUCCUGUCGUCUGCAGGGAACCGUCGCUGUGCGCCUUUCUGAAAGUCAAACAGCAAAUCCAGGCUCUCACCUCAACCUCCCAACCCACCAGGGGAUGCACAGACCCCAUGCUGAGCAUAAAUGGACGUUCAGCUGCAUGCUCCGAGCUGAAGCGUUCACAGGCUGAAGGAUAACUUGCAGUCGUUCACACCCAGGCUGAGCUGCUGGCACUGUGUUCUUCCCCAGGAUCUGCACGUUACGACAUCAGCUGGAAGUUCAGAGCCUUUGUGUAUUUAUCUGGCAGAAUUGAACGUUAUGGAAAGCUGUGUGUGGGUAUGUGAUGGACUGCUGCUCGCACAGCGGGUAUUUGGACUCCCACCUUCCCUGGGCAAUGAAUUGCCCACAGGAUCUGUCACAGCACUGCGUGGGCGUCAUGUUUCCUUUGUGCCAUUUGUCCAAACCUCUCCGUUGUGUCUGAUCUGAUGAGAAAGAUCCAUUCCAGGAGGAUUUGUUCGUAGAACUGCAGAGUGGCUGUGGUUGGAGAGGAGCUCUGCUGGCUACCCAGUCUCGCUUUGUGUUGUUAGUGGACAUCCUUGCUUGUAUCUGAAUUUGUAAAGAGCAAUCAAACCUGGAAAACAGCAUCUGCCAUUUGUUGCUUUUCCAAUCCAUCAAUUUAAAUGGUUGUUUUUUCCCACCAAGAAGUAAGAAACAAAGCACUGCAACUUCGUCUGCACCUCCCAGGAAGAACCUGACCGUGACAGCAGCUUUGCUCUGGAGCUACAGAUAUGUUUUCUGUCUGUGAAAGGAGGUUGCUGUUUACCUACAUUUUAUCUGUUCAGAAGGCUUUCCCUAGACUGGAAAUCAAGCUUGUUCAAUAGAGCUCAUUAGGUAAUGAGCUUACUCACUAAGCUCAUUAGUAGGGAAAUUCAUCCCGCUCAGCCCUCUGCAGCCCAAAUCUUGUCUCCCUGAGCCUAGCUUACUGCUCAUUUGACCCUUAGCAAGAGAAGUGACUUUUACCUAAUUUGAUCUCUUUUGCAUAUUUUCAUUCAACAACUGCCUUGCUGAAUGAAUGUUUCUAUUAUUUAAUCUGGCCUGCUAUUCCUCUGCAGCAGGAAAAUAUCUACAAGGGCUGUAGUCUUUGUGCACAACGUGCCAAGGAGAGAAUAUCAUGCCAGCUCAUUUCAAGAACUGAAGCCGAGCGUCUGACUCAGUAGGACUCAUCCUGUUCCAUGAUGGAUGCUCCCUGGAUGGAGGAACAGACGGUGGGGCAGAUGCAAGUAGGCAGGAGAACGAAAGAGGCACGAGUAGAAGUUGUGAUUGCCUCCUGCGAGCUGCCCGUGAUUGCCCAUCUGCACGCAAUGGCGUGGUCAUGCAGGGAGCUUUGGAGCACACACACAGCAGAAGAAAGGGAUUUCAUAGUGUGGUUCACUGUGCAGAGAUCAGAGAGCAGGUCUGACAACGAGGAUCUCUCACGGGGUGGGAGAUGGGCUGCUACGCCUUCCUGAACCGACGGCACAGCUGAGACGUGUGACAGCGAAGGACGUGUGUUGGCAGUGGUGCUCCAUUGAUUCGUGCUCAAAGAGGCACAUUUUAGUCCUGUUUCUACUCAUUUCAGGCACUGAUUACUGGAAAAAGGCUCUCGUGAUGUCAUGGAGUUUGUUGGAUGGACAACGGCCUCCUUCUGCCUUCCCUCUGAAGAAGCAGAGAGGAGCAGUUGGAGCUCUUCUUUAAUACUGAUGACAAAAGGUCAGGCAAAUAUUGAAGCCUCAAAAGACAAUAAAGCAGGGUUACAACAAAAAUGAAUUCUGAGCACAGGGAAGGGAUACGUUCCUUUGUACCCCAGCAGCUGUGUGGCUCAGAGGGAGCUGAGCUCCGGAGCAAAGGACACAGUACCCACCCUGCACAUAUCUGGGGCAUCCAGUUUGGGUCAGUCCUGGUCCAAUGCAUGGGCACCUGGGCAUGUAAGAACACGGGCACCUGAACGCCCCUGGGCAGUAAGAACACAUCAGGCACGUUCUAUCAGCCUCCAUCCAGCCGUGUUUCUCCAGAAGGAGUGCUGCCGGGCAGCUCUGGAGCUGCGCUAUGAGCCAGGCAGCGGGAUGGGAUGAUGGAGAGUUUGCUUUCAGAGCGCACACCUGAUCCAAGCGGAGGCACUGAUGGAGAUGGGCUCCAGCUCGGAGCAGCUCUCUCCUUGCAGCUUUCCCUUGGAAGAGAGCUCUCUUCUGCCAAGCAUUAGGUUGCAAGAAUAGCUGGCGUGCGUUAUCCUUUCCAAUUGAAAAAGAAUGCUUUAUUUUUGUCCUUACCGUGGUGACUGUAAUUAAUAUUUAAGGAGGAUGAGUCCCUUGUGCUACUGCUGCUACCAAAAUAGAGAAGAAGUGCGUCCUGUUGAUGACAUGUCGUGUACAAAUUACACACCAGGAGAGCGUACUGAGAUGGAAGUGAGAACUGUGGCGACCGGGUGAAAACACAAGAAGGAGAAAGCAAUAGUAAAAGUGUUUUCCUUCGUACAGAGAAGAAAUACGGGGGCUGUCAGGUUGUGGGGGCAAACCUUGUUAUCUCAGAGCUGCGCAUUUAAACCUUAAAGGCUGAAAGCAAAUGGGAAUUUAUCAUCUGCUGUUUUCACAUCUGAUGCGAAGCCCCAUGUCUACAGGCAAAGGAGAAACAGCAGCAAUUUGUGUCUCUUAGAUGGAGUCGCAUGCACAGAAGGAAUAAGGCAAUAAGGACACGAGAAAUAAUUAUCUGCACACAAAAGCUGAGGGUACUUCAGCACGCUGAGGACGAGUUGUUGGGCUAACAGCAGCUGCCAAAAGCCAACCUGACAGCUCCCACUGCUGCUGCAAGGCAGCAACUCGGGCAGUGCGGGACUGGGCGGCUGCGGGGGUCUCAUCUUUGUUCCUGGGAGGUCUCAUGGCAUCGCUGCACUCUGAGCCCGGCUCUGUUUGAGCUCAGCUUUCAGGGGCACGUGGCCCCAUUCUGCGGGGCUGCUCCCUGCAGAAGCAAACAGUCCUUCUCAGGGGCUUCGCAGCGGCCAAAUUUCGCGAAGUCCUGAAGGCAAAGCGCUCGGGCUGAUCUGUGUUUUAAUUCUGCUGCAGAUGGCAGGCAGAGAUGAAAGCAGCAGGCUGCCCCGGGCGCUGCGCUCCGUGCCUCUCCCGAAGUCCCGUGGCACAGCGCAGCUCUGCACGGCUGCCCACCUCAGCACGGUGCUUUCAGCUGUGUUUGUAGGGGAACGGACCCCACGUGCAGCACUGAAUAGCAGCGUGCAGCCCAGACCCAAACCCCACAGCCCUGCACAGACGUCCCCGGCGCAGAGCCAGGAGAAGAGAAAGAAGUCGGUAAGGAGUGAGAGGAGGAAAAGGCCAGAUGUUGCAGCAUCGUUCCUCAGGCUGCAAACCAAAACGAAAAGCCAGGAAAGAUCUGCACCUUUUAAAGAGGUAAUGAAUUGUUUCCCCCUCUGGCAGGCAGCGAUUUGACUUGCCACAUACCUCCGAGUAAUUUCCCAGCAGGUUUUAAUGUUGGAACAAUGGCAUUCUGCUAGAUAUUGAUUUUAAAAUAACUCUUCCACCUUUACUUGUAACCUGAAGAGGUGAAUUACAGCCCUUGAAUGUGCUCUAACGUAGUGCUGGUAAAUGGUGGAACUGACAGCGCCUGUCUGGGAAAGCCAUGGGGCUGAGCUCUGCCCGGGGCGGCCAGCAAAGCUGGGAUGGGUUUGGCACAGAGCAGCCCUCAGUGUAAGGCAGCUGCCAGGCUGAGCCCUCUGCUCCUGGAGCUUGUUCUGCAUUGAGCACCCCCAAACCUGCUCUGUCCUCCGGUAGCACCACAGCAGCUCUGUCCCUUCGCUGCAGAUGGGCACAGUGGUGGGGAUGCAGAGCCCAGCAUCGCAGCAGUGCAGCACCAAAGCUCCGCACCUCUCUGCUGGUCCUGCAGCUCUCUGUGCCCGUGCAGCAAUGCACGCUGAGAGCAGAUUUGGACUGCGUGGAUGUAAUCAGCUGAGAGAUGUAAUUCGUUUUGGCUAAUUUGUUGCAGGCCUUUAACUUCCCUUCCCCUUUCACCGCCUUCAUACUGACAGUGGCUACUCUGUCCCCUAUUUUCAGCUGAUUGCUGUAAACUAAUUACUUUUACUGGGUCAGCACUGUUAUGAAAUUAUCAUUUUAUGAGACUAAAAAUAGCUCCGAUCCAAAUCAGCAAGCCAAUCACUUCCCCUCAUCUCCAGUGAAAAUACAAUGCUCUCUGCAGUCUGCGUCUCUCAGGCACUCGCUGUGCUGCCGGCUGGGGAGGGAAGCAGGAAUGAGGAGCUGCGAAAGCUUCCUCAGCUCAGUUGCUAUAGAUGCAUCUCUGCCAAGGCUCCCAUUGGUAAGCACAGGAGUCGUGUUGUGGUUUUAGGCAGCACUGUUACUCAGCAUCGUUCAAAACCAUGUCCUUCUCACACGAGCUUGCCUUGAUGGAAAGUUAUUUGGCCCUGCCCAUUAGAAGUGGGGUGUUUGCAUGUGCGGGCAGUCAUGACAAGCAACCAAAGCCACAAACAGCCCAAGGAUGGAUGCGUUCCUAUUUUUCAGGGUUGUAUUUGAGUGAAUUGAGAGAGUGAAAAAUCCACCGAACUCCACUUGCUACAGGAAGGAAUAAGGGCAUUUUAAUACUUCAGGUGAAUGCAGACAGCUCGAAAAUGAGAUGCUUGCUCGAGAUUUGCAUCAGGGCAGUGAAGGAAAAGGUUCCGGCUCUGAUCCUGAUACAAAGAUGCUCCGUGCAGUGUCUGUAAAUCCAGCAGGGGAAGAAAAUUGAUACCACACUUCAUAUAAGGUGAAGCUGGAGUCAGGAGAAUGAAAGCUCGAGCAAAUGGCUUCUUUGUGUAGCUCCAUCAAUUCAUUGCCUGAUUGGGCUCUCUGUGUAUUAAAUUCAAGCUGCUCCCUGGCCUGUGGACAGAAGGAUUGUUGCCCGUAGGAAAUGGGGAGAGUGAUGAUGUGCUGCACCUCGCUUUACAAAGGACAUGUCCCACAGCUCAUCCAUCUUCCCACUGGCGAUGUUAGAUAUGCAAAGCAGCAUUUCUAUUAGAGCAGUAUUCCUGAUUCCACUCAGUGGCAGUUGCUGAGGUGGUGACACACAGCAUACGAUUACGGGGCUGAGCCUCACGCUUUGCAGAGCGCCCGGCAUGGCAGCGCUCCAGGGCCGAUUUAUGCCUUCCCUGACUUUGCAAACUCCUCCUGGGUUGCAUGGAGGAGGGCGAAAGGGGGUUGCUAUCAGCCCAUGGGCCCCGGGGCCAUGCAUGGAGCAGUGCUGCAGAGAUCCCCAUCACGCAGUGCUGGCAGCCCUGCAGUGCUCAGCGCUCAGCCAGGCCGUGAUGCUCGGCCGGCAGCGCUUUGGCACUGCGAGUUUCACACCCUGUUCCACUGCUUGCAUUUCAUCCCAUUGCUUCCUUCCCCAAGACUGAAUACCAGUGAAAAAGAAAGCCCAAGAAAUCAACAAAACAAGUAACAAGACAGUUGAUUACAUCGGCUCUCUCUCGCUUCCCCUCCUCGUGCUUUGCAGAACCUCGGGCUCCAGCUGGGUAACAUCAGGACAGUGGAGCAGCCCCCAGGCCUGAGCCCAGCCCCCCCUGCACUCAGGAUCUGUGCACUGCUCCCAGCCCCCCCAGCACUCAGAGCAGGCUGCAGACAUGCAAGGCCAUUGCAUCUGCUGUAUGACUUCCCCACGCUGACGUGGCUCCUCAAACAAACUCUUCGGAUACGGUUCUGCUGUCCCAGCACAGUGACCAGCUCAGCCAAACCCAAAGGGACAGCACGGACCCCACGGGGACAGGUGUGGGCAGGGGGGUUUGCAGCCACGCUGUGCUCACAGAAGCUGCCUGGGAGGCUGAACAUACUGCUGCUGUCAGGUGAAAGGAAAACAGCCAUCAACAGCAAAGGGAAACAUGACAUGGGCAGAAGCAGCGCGGGCUGCAGGGGGGGGGUCCGGCACUGCAUCCCUGUUUGUCACAUUGGGGCACAGGGAUGUGGGGUCGGCCCCUCUGGAGGCAAAGCCCCAUUAAAAGUAAAUGGAAGCAAUGCGCUGGUAGCAAAGUGACACCUUUUAUGAUAAUGAAACUCAGUGUGGGUGUAAAGCUGAUGACCGUUGCAUAUGAAGUGAGGUAAAAGCAAGAGGGGGCACAAAUGCUGGCAGAUAUAGGGUGGGUGCUGCAGGGUGAGGGGCAGCCGCUGCCCCCAGAGGAAAGUGCUGCUGCGUGGAUUGGGUGGCUGGCCUUGAAUUAAUUUGGGGUAGUUGAUUCAGUGAUUCAGAGCGAUGUGAGAUGCACCUAAGAGUAAUGCUUUCAUUAUAAAACCUCCUGAGCAAAAUUUAACUCGUGCUAAAUUAAAGCAGCCUCUGUUAAAGCGGGGCUGAUGAGCACAGCAGAGGGCUCACAGAUGCAGGGUCAGAAUCAUUUAAUUCCUUUGCUUUGUUUCCCAUCCCAGAAAAGCUGCUGCACCUCCCUGCCUGCGCUGCUGAGUUCUGCUGUUGCUUUCGUGCCUUUUGCUCAAAGGGAAAACCCCUUUUGGGUUUAUCGUGGUUGAGCACCAGGCUGUGCAUGGAGGCUGGCUCUCACAAAUGGCGGCGACUUCCUUGCUUCCAACUGAACAAAUUUAAUUUACUCCAGCAAAUAUCUGGCUUAGAUUUGUUAUUUUAAUUAUUAACGUUACUCAGCUGGAACAUCUGCUAAUGCUUUCCUAGCGCUAGCCUUGGUUUUCAGUGUCAGUAAACUUUCCCUUUAUAGAAAAUGGGCUUGGAAACACAGGAAAAGUUAUCUCCCACGUUGCAAAAUGCACCGCCACAAGCAAAGACAUUCCAGUGCCAGGGAAAUGUUCAUUAUCUGAUUUAAGUCUCAGGGCUCAAAACAAGAAAUCUAUACACACGUGCAUACGUUUGGCUUAAAAACUAUGGCACUGUAUAUUUCCUGUUUCAAUUACUGGCUAAAGCAGAUGAUAUUGGGAUGCUCUGAGCAGUGCUGGGAUGGCAGCAGCUAACAGGCAACUGCUUAGAGAGGCGAAGUGAGGUGGAAUAAGAAGCACGUUAGGAACUCUGGCUGCGUUUCUGGCAACUGCUGUGAGAUGGGAAUUGCCAGCGCUCUCAUUAGUAACAAGAUCCUUCCAAGCACUGCUAAGUGAUUUCUGAAGAGAGAGAGAUGAACUAUGGUGCAAAAGUGCCAGGAAGACGGGAAUGACGUGGGGCCAAAGUCUUGUUUCUGCAGCUCGCUGAUUUCCAUGUGCCGCCCUGGGUGAGGGGCUGCGGCAGCUGCCGGCCCCGAGGAGGUCUGCAUAGCACAUAGCAUCAACCUGUCUGUCUAGCACAGGGUUUGGAAAGCCAGCAGAGAGGGUUUGGUUUCGCACUGCACAGGAAGGUGUCAGACCCAUGGCAGGUGUGCCUGGGGCAGGCAGGUGUUGGCAGAGGGCAUCUCUCUGCAGGAGCUGCCUGGAUUUCGGAGUGCCUUACAAGUCUGUGCUAAUGGCAGCGAUCUGAGCUGGCAGACUGUUUGCCAGAGACACCUAUUUUAAUUAAACUCCUGCAACAGAAAGCCCCACAUCAGUAAUACUCCAAGUGUCAGCUUUAAGGCUUUGAUAGCACGUUAUCAGUCCCUUUGCAGUGAACGCUUACAAAGCUAUGCUUAAACACCUGGGUGUUUUUAAUUCUUGUCGACUCAUUUAAAGCACUCAUUCGUCUACAAUUUCUAUGAUUGCAACAGAUUGAGGACACUUUCAAGUCCUCAGGAGCACUCUGUUCUGUCACCUAUGUGUUCAGAGAGGGAAAGGGAAAGGGAACAAGACCAAGCACCGAUGGCAGCAGAGCAUUAACUGCACUCUGCAGCACUUUCUGCAUGGGUUUUACCAGGAACUUUGGUUCCCAAGCAACACUGAGCAUUCCCUUGGCCCCAACUUUCCUAUGACAAGGAUAGAAAGGAGGACAUCCAUGUGAACACGUGUCUGCAGACAGAAAGAUAGGCGCAGUUAUAUGGAACAGAAGCGAGACAGCCUUUUGGUGACUAUGACAAACAUGGACAUUUUCACUUAAUGAAGAAUUCAGACUGCCAGUUGUCAUCAGAUUCUGCGCCUCCCUGACAGCUGAAUUACGAUUUCAAUAAUUUACAAGUGCCAUUGUGAGCCUGUCCAUGCCUAAUAGGCACAGAGACGUGUUUAAAGUCAAGCUUAGAGGAUAAAGUGGUGACCACGUUACAAGAGUGGGGAUUGUCUACAUCUGAGCAUUAAUCCGUGUGAGCUCUCCAGAGGGAAAACUCUUUGCAAAGUAACGACAAACGUUGUGUGUCCUGAUGGGUGGCAUUAAGAGAUGAUUGCCUACUUUCUUUUUACAUAACCCCAUCAGGGUGAGGGCUCGGCUAUUCUUACAAAGGCUUUUGUUCAGAGAGACAGAAGCUCAAAUCUAUAAUCUCAGUAGAAAUAUCUGUAAGGGAGAAAUGAAAUAGAAGGGAAAAAACAGCGCCCUCCAGGCUACGUUUCCUUUGCUUUGAUUAUUCCAUUACCUCUGCACCUGUCCAUGGCAGUGUUUGAAAUUUCACCACAGUGUAUGCCAAUUACUUUUUAAACCCACCACUAAACACAGACAGGAAGCCCAUUUCUUGCUAAAUUAAGUGAGAAAAAAUCCCACGGAACGUGUCCUGGAGAACACUGGGUGACUUCAGGAGCAGAGCAGCCCACAAUACCCAUUUGAAUUCAGCACAUCUAUAAGAGAGAAACUGUGACCAACAUUGCUAAAAGAGACAAAAUGCACAUCAGAGAUUCUGUGUAAAAUCUAUGGCUCAAAUGAAUGUCUGAAAAAAGCCCGAGCACUGCUUGCCAACUUCCUUCCACUUCUCUCUCCUGCAGAACGAGAGCAAAUCAGCACCUACUACUCCAUAGAUUGCUUCUCCUGCAUUCAUUUACCAUUGUGCCAAGCAUUUGUCAAGUGGGUUUAAGUGCUUUUUCUGUUUCAUACGUCUCAUAAACACAAAUUCCAGAAGUUAUCAGGCAAAGAACAAUCAAAUCUUUAACACUUCCAUUGCGUUUUGCAACAUGCAUCCAGAAAACUGCUUACGAGCAACGAAGUCUUGCUCCUACUACAUACUUGCAGGCUGCUGAGUAAAAGAAAAAGUAAUACUCACCCAAGUGUUGUCAUGGUUACAAUAGUGUACCAAAAGGAAGCAGGAAUACUGGUGAAUUUGCUUGCUGAGGACCCUUUCUCUGCAUAAAACAUCACAGUUGCAAAGAUGAUAAUUGCCAUAGUGAGGGAAAAGAGGAGAAAGCCAAGCUCAGAGGCACAGCUCUUCAAAGUGUAGCCCAAGAUUCGUAAGCCUUGGGAAUGGCGAGAGAACUUGAAAAUCCUGAAAACCCUAAAAACCCUUAGAGUCACAAAGGCUCCGCUGACAUCCUCGUUGUUGGUCAUCACCAAACCAAUGUAGUAUGGCAUGAUGGCCACCACGUCGAUGAUGCUCAUCACGCUUCUGAUGAACCUGUAGCGACUUGGGGCCGCGAAGAGUCUCAACAGGUACUCAACUGUGAAAAUCAUCACACAAGCCGUGUCCAAGCAAAAGAAAGCCACAGCAUAUCUCUCCCCACAUGGAAGCUCCUUGUUCCCCGGCACCGUGCCGCAAGGGACAGUUUCCACGACAUUAGUGAUCACAGAGACGGCAAUAAAGAAACCGGUGACGUAGUAAAAGACUAAGGCUAAGGUGCUGGUGUGGGGGUUCUCGAAGGCUCGCCACAUGGUCUGCCGGAAGCUCAGGGAUGGCAUGGACCCUUCCUGGUUGUUUUCUGAGUCGUUGUCAUCCAUCAGCCGCUCUGCGUUUUCCCUCUUCCUGUCUUUGUACUCUUCGUAGCAGCAGUCCCCAAUGAUUUCAGGGAGGAUCCCGUAGAAGGCAAGCUCUUCAUCGUAGGCAGAGAUGCACUCAUACCUGGGAUAGUGCAGCUUGCCAGUUCUAUAAAAAUUUAAGAUGCACCUGAAGACCUCAGGGUCCCGGUCGAAGAAGUAUUCCUUGGUGUCUUCAUUGAAGAAGAACUCCUUCUCCGUGCUGCCCAGCAGAGUGUCCGGGUACCUCUCAAGUGUAGUCCUCCAGGUCUGGAAACGCCUGCCGCUCACGUUGAGAAUGAUCAGCUCGUCCUGCCUCUUGUUCUUCUCUGUCGGAGCCAGCGGCAUGGGACAGUUGGCCACCGGCAUCCAUCCUAUGGCAGCUGCCCUGGCAAAGGGCAGCCACGCGGCGACCCCCGCAGCCAUGGUGCCCCCGGCCGUGUUACAGGAGGGGACGGGUGGGAGUCAGAUCAGCUCCAUCUGAAAUGCAGAGCAGAUAAAAGCACAGCGCAAAGUCAGUCAGGGUGUCUCGCUCCGUCGUGCUCAAGAGCUAGAUCAGAAUGGGCACGAGAGCUUCAAACUGCCAGCUUGUCCUCAUCUCCUGUAUGAAGGGUGAUGUUAAAGAAGAUACAGCUCGGUGAGGUUAUGGCGUUAUUAUGGAUUGAAAUUUUGAAUAGCAAAUGAUUCCUCAUUAAAAGCUCUUUAAAAGUAGCAUAAACACAGUAAUUUAUAUUUGCUUCCUUACAAACAAGACUAAUCCAUGAUUCCCCAGGUGUGAGCCUCGUGCUCAUCCAUUCAACUACAGCUGUCAAGAAGGAGCUGGGAGUGCCAGUGAAAUCAGCCUGCAGUUCACCCAGCUAAACUGCAUGUCAUGAAGAGCCACAACUGGGCUGAGCUGGAUUUCCAGGCGGCAGAAAGCUCAAUAUGUAAUGAAGCUGAUCACCUCUCUGGUUUUCAUUCACUUUCUUCCACCUUUAAUUAAGCACCUGGGCUCAGCAGCAGUUUUUUGCUGGUCUCUUGGAUUUAGCGGUGUGUUUUACUGAACUGAGAUACUGCUUCCCUCCACUGGACCACAGGAAAGUGUUACCAACGGAGUACCAGGAAAAGCAAAACAGAGAAGCCUCCAAACUUGGACAGCUUCCUUCCAGCAGGAUUAUUACCAGGAGACCCUGAUCGUUUCCUGGCAGGUAGAGGCAGAACAGAAGGACCAUUAGGCUGAACUGAAAUACGUUCACUGCAGUCUUGAUUUUUAGAUGAAAUAUAUCCCAACUUGUCCAGACCCUCAACCACUGGAAGCCAACAUUCUCUGGAAAUGACAGUGGUUAAUGUGGUUCUGAUCCGGCCACCAAUUUUCUUUUCCUUUUAGCUCUUUGGUCAGAGUUCUUAAAAUACUGAACUUGUUUUUUCUAUCUUUUAACUUACAUUCACUUUUACUUCCCUGUUGUUUUCCUAAGUCUGCCAUAAAAUUAUCUGGAGAAAGGUGCCAUUAUCAUAUCAGAUGCAUUACGGUCCCUAUCAAAAGCCAAUCUAUCAAUGGCAAUUCCAUUGAUUCUACUGACUCAAGCCCUCAAAGCCUAAUUAUAUCCUCUACAUGGUAUCCUUCUAUGCAAUUUUACUCCGAACAUUCUUAAUUAUAUGAAAGCUGCCAUUCCAGCCAGUAAGGCUGCAGCAUUAUUGAUUUCAACAGCCAUCAAAAUACUGAAUAAAAAAUGAUGGAAUCAAUCUGUGGUGAAAACAA